UACGUAGGGGGCGAGCGUUGUCCGGAUUUAUUGGGUGUAAAGAGCUCGUAGGCGGUUUGGCAAGUCGGAUGUGAAAUCUCCAGGCUCAACCUGGAGGGGUCAUUCGAAACUGCUAUGACUAGAGUUCGGUAGAGGAGUGUGGAAUUCCUGGUGGAGCGGUGAAAUGCGCAGAGAUCAGGAGGAACACCCGUAGCGAAGGCGGCACUCUGGGCCGAUACUGACGCUGAGGAGUGAAAGCGUGGGGAGCGAACAGG
rnacentral:rRNA from 1 species